UACGAGAGGCCCAAACGUUAUUCGGAUUUACUGGGCUUAAAGAGUUCGUAGGCGGCGCAGAAAGUGGGGUGUGAAAGCCCUCGGCUCAACCGAGGAAUUGCGCUCCAAACUACUGUGCUCGAGGAAGCUAGAGGUGAGCGGAACUGAUGGUGGAGCGGUGAAAUGCGUUGAUAUCAUCAGGAACACCGGAGGCGAAGGCGGCUCACUGGGGCUUUUCUGACGCUGAGGAACGAAAGCCAGGGGAGCGAACGGG
rnacentral:rRNA from 1 species